GCCUCCGUAGAUUAAUGAUAAAUCCCCUUGGAUCUAUACCAAAGGAUGAAACUGGUUCUCAAGAGAUGUGGGUUCGAAUCCCACCGGAGGCA